GGUUAAGUUUCUCAGCAGCAGUUGAUCCUACUGGCUUCUGUGAGUCUCAGGAUCCUUACAGGACUCUGAGUCUCAGGCCCCUCCCUGGGGUAGUGCCCAGACCUCCCGGUGGGGGACGGAGCAGGGCCCUGUGUCUGCCUGCAGUCGGGCCCAGCGUAGGCAGGACCUCUUACAGGCUUGCUUCUGAGCUUCGUUAGUGUGGGUUCAAAGCUGCCAUUGGUCUAUGGCUAAUUUAGCCCCAUCAUGAAGGGCGAUGGCCUUCUGAGAAUUCUACCCAGUAUCCUGUGAAUUAGAAGGUCUUUCCACAUGGCUAUGGGAACACAUAAUAUUCUUAUCCCUGUGUGAGCUCUGGGGAUUAUUCUCCCUGCUCCUUUCCAGGGAUUCUUGCCCCAGCCUCCUUGCCUAGUUUCUCUCACACAAGUGCAGACCUGUUCUAGGCUAUAGACUCAAGGGACCCUCCGCACAUCACGCAGCCCCGCUGCCUGUGCAGCCCCAUCCCCCACACCCUGUGCCGCACGCUCUGGCUGCCGGGGCCUCCCUGACCUCCUAGCUCCGUCUCCUCCUUCAGGGAGAUGGCUGGGUCUGACGGAAUUUCAUUUUCUUGCACCGUAGCCUGGCAACCAUCCCGGCCAUAGCUGGUACAGUCACAGGGCUCCCCUCUCAGUUUCUCUUCUCUUGGGGAAUAGCUGUCCUGCACUGUGUCCCAGGGACUGAAAACCAUCACAUCACUUCUUGACCAGUUUUCUCAUUGUUCAGGGGCCCCUUUGACUCUAAAAUUAUUUCAUAAACAAAUGGCAAAAAAAUGGAAGAGCCUGUCUGGAGUUUGAUGAUGGUUCAGAACAAGAGGUGAGUUCGGGCUAAGAUGACUGACAUGAUUAACACUCCCUUUUUUAUUCUGUGAACUAGUCACAGUGUGAAUGGGAACAGCAAAAUGGCACAGACUGUGGCGGCAGCCUGGUGUUUACCCCCAGCAAGCUUGAGUUUUACUGGCCUCCACCAGGGCCGGGGCCUCCUCACAGAAGCCCACGUGGGGAAAGGAGCUGAUCACGCAGGAACUGGCACAGGCGGAAAGGCCGAGCCACCCUCACCCUCGGGCUCGCCACGACGCCAGCAGUCUUUGGACAACGGGGAGUCAGACCCACAAGGCCACCUACUUCUAGCCAUUCUGGCCUUGGCCUUGGGACCAAGUUGGAGGGCGCUGGGCUGGAUUCAGGCCUGGCCUGCGGCUAUCGCUGCUUCGGCCCGGGGCUCUGUCGGCAGCUGCACCUGACUCGAGGGAGCUGGUGGUAGCCCGUGCUGCCCUGCUAUAUCUCCACGCUCGGGGGUGCACUGACCCCCGACUGGCAGCUGUGCCUCCACGCAGGGUGUUGAGAGUCUGGAAAGUCAGCCUCGUGGGGUGAGUGGAGCGUGAAGGUGGGAUGAGAACCAGUGCUGCUCCCCGGACCUGAGAACCUGCAUUUUCCCAGGAGGCCAAAGUCUGCAACUGCAGCUGGUCUUGUGUGGGCACCUUCUUGUUUCCACAGCGGGACUCUGCUGAGCCUCCCACAGGCUCUCUCUGUGCAUGUUCCCGCCGCCAAGUGAAGAGUUCAGCUACAGGAAUGUUGCAGCCCAUGGCUUCCCACGGUGGCGCAGGGAGAAGCACCAGGGGAGCUUGGCUAUUGUAGUGUCCUCCCCACUGGUCAGGCCACAUCGCCUCUGUCCUACACGCUGCGGGGCAGCGAUACUCAGAGCAUGGAAGGUAAUGAAAACAGACCGCUUCUCAUGGGGUAGCUUGCGGGGGACCACUGCCCCCGGAGGACUCAAGGAACUGGCCGUAAUUCAGAAGGCGCCAGCUUGAAGGUCCACAGAGUCACUGCAGCAGCCACCACUCAGGGGGAGCUCCAGAGGUAAGACCUCCUUCCUGCACUGGCUUUUCCCCUCGGGCAGGCACAAGUGGCCACUAAGAGGCAUGGAAGUGAGAGGAGCUUACACAAUUUCCUGGGGCUGGGCAGCAUCCUGGGAGUAGGGGCCACAGGUAGAAUGGACAUCUGCAAGGACUGCAGAUGAGCUCAGUGUCAGCUGAGCCCCAGACUGGCCGUGGUGGUCUGCCCCACAGCUGCCCGCCUGGAGGGAGGUGCCAUCCUGGCUCUCCG